GUGAUUUCUGUUUCAGUGGCGGACGGGUGAGUAACGCGUGGGUAACCUGCCUUGCACUGGGGGAUAACACUUAGAAAUAGGUGCUAAUACCGCAUAAGCGCACAAUACCGCAUGGUAGAGUGUGAAAAACUCCGGUGGUGCAAGAUGGACCCGCGUCUGAUUAGCCAGUUGGCGGGGUAACGGCCCACCAAAGCGACGAUCAGUAGCCGGCCUGAGAGGGUGAACGGCCACAUUGGGACUGAGACACGGCCCAAACUCCUACGGGAGGCAGCAGUGGGGAAUAUUGCACAAUGGGGGAAACCCUGAUGCAGCAACGCCGCGUGAGUGAAGAAGUCAUUCGUGAUGUAAAGCUCUAUCAGCAGGGAAGAAAAUGACGGUACCUGACUAAGAAGCCCCGGCUAACUACGUGCCAGCAGCCGCGGUAAUACGUAGGGGGCAAGCGUUAUCCGGAUUUACUGGGUGUAAAGGGAGCGUAGACGGCGAGACAAGUCUGAAGUGAAAUGCCAGUGCUCAACACUGGAACUGCUUUGGAAACUGCCUGGCUGGAGUGCGGGAGAGGUAAGUGGAAUUCCUAGUGUAGCGGUGAAAUGCGUAGAUAUUAGGAGGAACACCAGUGGCGAAGGCGGCUUACUGGACCGUAACUGACGUUGAGGCUCGAAGGCGUGGGGAGCAAACAGGAUUAGAUACCCUGGUAGUCCACGCGGUAAACGAUGAUUACUAGGUGUCGGGGGGCUAGAGCCCUUCGGUGCCGCCGCAAACGCAAUAA
rnacentral:rRNA from 1 species